CAGUCGCUUGCCGACUGGCCAACGCUGGGGCUUGGUUUGCCCCAGAGCGCGUUUUGCUGGACGCUGUUCGGACCCGGCGGCGAGCGG
rnacentral:tRNA from 1 species